AGCGCAAGAUGGCCAACUUCGUUGAUUGUGUGUUGGAUGAGGAGAAGGUACGCAUAGCUGCUGAAUUCAUCACUCAUGCACCCCCAGGGGAAUUUAAUGAAGUAUUCAGUGAUGUUCGGCUACUACGUAAUAAUGACAACCUCCUCAGGGAAAGGGCAGAACAUGCAUUUGCUCAUUACAACGUGAAUCAGUUCACACCUGUGAAGAUAGAAGGAUAUGAAGAUCAGGUCUUAAUUACAGAGCGUGGUGACCUGGGCAAUAGCAGAGUUUUAGAACCAAGAAACAAAUUUUCCUUUAAAUUUGAUCACUUACAGAAAGAAGCAAGUGACCCCCAGCCAGAACAAGUAGAUGGAGGUCUGAAGUCUUGGAGAUUAUCCUGUGACAGUGCUUUAAGAGCCUGUGUGAAAGACCAUUAUUCCAACUGCUUCUGUACUGUUUAUGCUAAAACUAUCGAUGGGCAACAGACUAUUAUUGCGUGUAUUGAAAGCCACCAGAGUCAGCCUAAAAACUUAUGGAAUGGUCGUUGGAGAUCAGAGUGGAAGUUGACCAUCACACCACCUACAGGCCAGGUGGUUGGAGUGCUUAAGAUUCAGGUUCACUAUUAUGAAGAUGGCAAUGUUCAGUUGGUUAGUCAUAAAGAUGUACAUGAUUCACUGACUGUUUCGAAUGACACACAAACUGCCAAGGAGUUUAUUAAAAUCAUAGAGAAUGCAGAAAAUGAGCGUCAGACAGCAAUUAGUGAAAACUAUCAAACAAUGUCAGAUACCACAUUCAAGGUCUUGCGCCGGCAGCUUCCAGGUACCCGCACCAAAAUCGACUAGAACAAGAUACUCAGCUACAACAUUGCCAAAGAAAUGCAGAAUGCCUAGAGGCUGAAUGUAGGAUUCUUCACUAUGUGGAAAGACAAGGAUUCAACGUGUGGUCAUAUGAUAAAUAAGUGAUUUAUAAACAAGAGUGCUAUUUUGCUAGAGCUUUUAAAGUUAACCAGUUUUCUAGCCUCAUGGAAUACUGUUGAACCUAUAAGCAUUGUCUUGAUUCUUUUGUGUUCUCUGCCUUGCAAUUUUCUGUUAUUGCUAUAUCCAAGUGUAAGUCUUUUUUUUUUUUUUUUUGGUUAAUUCUGGCACAUUUUAUGUUGGAGAGAGAGAUCUAUCCUAGAGACAUUUUACUGUUGAAAAAAGUUUCCUAGCCAUGAA